CAGAAAGUAGUUUAAAUUAAAAUUUUAAUUUUGGAGAUUAAUGAUAGGAUUAAAAAUUCUUUUUCUGA
rnacentral:tRNA from 1 species